CAAUCAGUCUCAAGGGGUCUGGGUGCACACCAAAUGGCUGUAGAAGCUAAAAUGCCUGUUUCCACACAGCCAGGAUUCAAAGACACACGAUCUUUCACACCCACACCUUCACAGGACUAUCUAAGAGGUAGGGGACAGAACACUCCAUUACUGGAAAGGAUACUAAUGGGGUUCAAAUGAUGCACAGAAAAGCUUCUGCAUGGACAAUACUUACAAAUAUAUGCUAAAUUGUUGCUCUCUUCCUCCUCAGGGAAAAAAUCAGAGUACCAGGCUAGGUAGCUCUGUAGAGUAAACUGUAAAUUCUAUAGCACACUAAAUCCAAAUAUAUGUAUCACUGAUUUGCUCAUUUAUAUACAUGGCAGGAAUCAUUAUGUAUAGGGUAUGAAAGGGGUAUCAUUUACAGUCGACUGGGGCAACCUCUGUGGUCUGGAAUUGUCACUAGGUUUUCCCUCAAUCUAGUUACUUAGAUGAAAUGGAAGAUGUAGAUGUUCACUCUAGCUUUCCCAAAUAUACACUGAUGUUCCAUAGGGAACAGCUAAAACUGAAAGAGUCCCUGCGUUCAAUGUCUUUUCUUUUUUCAGUCUGUGAUGAGAGUGAAAGUCUUUGAUGUGAAGUCCGGUAUGUAUACAGGAAGGUGAAUUUCUUAUAGACAUUAUGGGUUGGUUUAGGCUCUCUUUGUGAUUUAUUAAGGGUCUGGUUCUGGGAAGAAGGUUUGGCUUUGCUCUUCUUUUCUUCAGCCUGGUUACUCAACCAGUGUGAGAAUUCUGGUGUCUGGCAAGGGAGAGGCGGUCGUUGAAGAGUUGCCCGCACACAUCACAUUUGAAGUACUUGUCGUCUGCCUGCUCCGCACCACCUGCACUGGUGC